GGCCCCGUAGCUCAGCGGUUAGAGCGUGGGACUCAUAAUCCCUUGGUCCUCGGUUCAAAUCCGAGCGGGGCUA
rnacentral:tRNA from 1 species